rnacentral:rRNA from 1 species
AGUGGGGAAUAUUGGACAAUGGGCGCAAGCCUGAUCCAGCCAUGCCGCGUGUGUGAAGAAGGCCUUCGGGUUGUAAAGCACUUUUGUCCGGGAAGAAAUCUGCCGACUUAAUACGUCGGUAGGCUGACGGUACCGGAAGAAUAAGCACCGGCUAACUUCGUGCCAGCAGCCGCGGUAAUACGAAGGGUGCAAGCGUUACUCGGAAUUACUGGGCGUAAAGCGUGCGUAGGCGGUUCGUUAAGUCUGCCGUGAAAGCCCCGGGCUCAACCUGGGAAUGGCGGUGGAUACUGGCGGGCUAGAGUACGGUAGAGGGUGGUGGAAUUCCCGGUGUAGCAGUGAAAUGCGUAGAGAUCGGGAGGAACAUCUGUGGCGAAGGCGGCCACCUGGACCAGUACUGACGCUGAGGCACGAAAGCGUGGGGAGCAAA